UGGGGAAUAUUGCACUAUGGGCGCAAGCCUGAUGCAGCAACGCCGCGUGAACGAUGAAGGUCUUCGGAUCGUAAAGUUCUGUUGCAGGGGAAGAUAAUGACGGUACCCUGUGAGGAAGCCCCGGCUAACUACGUGCCAGCAGCCGCGGUAAUACGUAGGGGGCUAGCGUUAUCCGGAUUUACUGGGCGUAAAGGGUGCGUAGGUGGUCUUUCAAGUCGGUGGUUAAAGGCUACGGCUCAACCGUAGUUAGCCUCCGAAACUGGAAGACUUGAGUGCAGGAGAGGAAAGUGGAAUUCCCAGUGUAGCGGUGAAAUGCGUAGAUAUUGGGAGGAACACCAGUAGCGAAGGCGGCUUUCUGGACUGCAACUGACACUGAGGCACGAAAGCGUGGGUAGCAAACAGG
rnacentral:rRNA from 1 species